GAUGAAGAACGUAGCGAAAUGCGAUAAGUAAUGUGAAUUGCAGAAUUCAGUGAAUCAUCGAAUCUUUGAACGCACAUUGCGCCCGCCAGUAUUCUGGCGGGCAUGCCUGUUCGAGCGUCAUUUCAACCAUCAAGCCCCGGGCUUGUGUUGGGGACCUGCGGCUGCCGCAGGCCCUGAAAUGCAGUGGCGGGCUCGCUGUCAUUCCGAGCGUAGUAGUUACAUCUCGCUCUGGGCGUGCUGCGGGUUCCGGCCGUUAAAAGCCUUAUUUACCCAAGGUUGACCUCGGAUCAGGUAGGAAGACCCGCUGAACUUAAGCAUAUCAAUAAGCGGAGGA
rnacentral:misc_RNA from 1 species